rnacentral:rRNA from 1 species
UAAGAUGUAUUAACUUUAGUUUUGUUUAUAUAUGGUAAUUUAUAAAAAUCAUUUAAUUGUUGUUGUAUUUGUUAUGGAUUUAAUUAACUGUAGUUAUAAUUGGUUAGUACUGUGAAGGAAGAGUAAAAGAAUAAUUGGUUUAUUAUUUUAUAAGUUGAAUUAUAUUUUUGUACCUUGUGUAUCAGGAUUAAUUAAUAAUUAUUUAUUUAUAUUAAUUUUCUCGAUUUCUUUAGAGUUAAUAAAUUAUAUUAGUUAUUGUGGAAUAAAUAUUAAUAAUAAUUUAUUGGGAAUGAGAUGUUAUUCGUUAAUGAGGAUAUCUAGUUUUUUGGGAAAUAAAUUUAAUUUAGGUUCUUUCUUUAAUUAUUUUCUUUAAAAUUAAUUUUGAGUCGGAAUUAAUAAUGGAGGGGAUAAGCUCUUUAUUAUAAAUUUAUAAGAAUAUAUUUAUAUUUAAUUAUAUGGAUUUAAUAGUUAUUAUUAUUUUAAGUAUGUUAAAGUAUUAUUUUUUUUAUAUAAUGAUUUUUUUUUUCUUUAAGGAUUUACUAAGAUUUUUUGUUUAAUUUUUUAUUAAUUGAAAUUAUGAUUAAAUAAGUAUAAAUAAUUUUAUAAUAUUUUUUGAUGUUAAGUUAUUUUGGGGAACUCGGCAAAUUUUAUUAUUCGCCUGUUUAACAAAAACAUCUCUUCUUGUUUAUUUAAGAGGUAUGGCCUGCCCAAUGAUAAAUUUAAUGGCCGCAGUAUAUUGACUGUGCAAAGGUAGCAUAAUCAUUAGUCUUUUAAUUGAAGGCUGGAAUGAAUGGCUGGACGAGAUAAUAACUAUCUUAAUUUAAUUUUUUUUUGAAAUUAAUCUUUAAGUUAAAAAGCUUAAAUGAUUUUUUGGGACGAGAAGACCCUAUAGAGUUUUAUAUUUAUAAAGGUUUAUUGGAUUUGUAAAUGGAUAAAUUUUUGUAUAUAUUUUGUUGGGGUGAUGGAAAGAUAAUAGUAACUCUUUUUAAUAUUUGUUUAUAAAUUUAUAUUAAAAUGAUCCAUGACUGGUGAUUGAAAGACUAAAUUACCUUAGGGAUAACAGCGUAAUUUUUUUUAAGAGUUCAUAUCGACAAUAAGGAUUGCGACCUCGAUGUUGGAUUAAGAUUAUCUUUAGGUGUAGAAGCUUAAAAAUUAGGUCUGUUCGACCUUUAAAAUCUUACAUGAUCUGAGUUCAAACCGGCGUAAGCCAGGUUGGUUUCUAUCUAAUAAUAUUUAUAAUAUUUUAGUACGAAAGGACCAAAUAUUUGGAAUAAUUUUUAAUUAUUGAUUAUUAUUAAUAU